rnacentral:lncRNA from 1 species
CAUUUCCCCUCCGUUCUUCCUCUUGGAGCUGUUCCCAGUCCCGGUGGCCCUUCUGAAGCCGAGUGGGAAGCUCAGAAGGAACCUCUGGAUUUGUUUACCGGUGUCAGGAAUGGAAACUGCUGGGGCACCUGUGUACUCUUGCUGGUUUCUUAAACUCUGUCUGAAUCCCACACACCCUUGCUUUUCGGGGAGUUGUGGCUGGCUGGGACAGGAGCAAGGAGUCUCUCCUUUGAGUCAAAGGAGGCACAGUAGCCAGAAGGAGGGCUUAGAUAUGAGAAUGUUACAGGCCAAGAAGCUAGACGGACCAUCUGGAGAGUGACCAAAAUGAAAAGCGCAGCGGCAGUUGUGCAGCUGUGGUCUGGAGCGAGGUGUCCAGGGUCUUGGGCAAUGGAAGACAUAGAGGAGGCCAGAGAUGAUUGCUUCCAAUGGAGUCUGUAGCUCGCACUUGCUUUUGUGGCCAGUGAUGUGAGCAGAUGGGUUUACCAGGCUAUAAGCUUUUGGUGGCUGUGUGCAAAGACUUCCACUGAGAUGAUCGUGUCUCCUCAGGCACAUCUGGGUGUUGGUCCUGACAGCUGGAGUAUUGGGGUUUGAGUUUUGCCUGAAGGACUCACUGGUGAGGCUGAACCAAGUGUGUUUCUUUGGCCAUCACAAGGACCCAGGCAGGAUGUCAUACUCAGCAGUACAGCAAGAACUGGUCCAAUGCUUCAGAUCUGUGAUUCUCAAUGGGCAGAGGGCAAUAAGUAAUGUCUGAAGACUUUUUAAAAAAAAAUUAAUUAGAGAGAGGGUCUUGGCUCACUGCAGCCUCCAACUCCUGGG